UUCGGAUGAAGAGGUUUGUGACUGAGUGGCGGACGGGUGAGUAACGCGUGGGUAACCUGCCUCAUACAGGGGGAUAACAGUUAGAAAUAGCUGCUAAUACCGCAUAAGCGCACAGAGCUGCAUGGCUCGGUGUGAAAAACUCCGGUGGUAUGGGAUGGACCCGCGUCUGAUUAGCUGGUUGGUGAGGUAACGGCUCACCAAGGCGACGAUCAGUAGCCGGCUUGAGAGAGUGAACGGCCACAUUGGGACUGAGACCCGGCCCAAACUCC
rnacentral:rRNA from 1 species